UUUAAUGAAAUAUUUCAUGUUUCAUAAAGAAGGAUCUGUUUUUAUAACUUUACUGCGAUCUUUGAGUUAUUGUUUAUCCAUUGGUGUUUUUUUAUGGCUAAGAACUUCUGAAUAAUCAUAAAAAUCCAAAGAAUUUAUUUAACCCUACUGUGAUCUUUGGGUUAUUUUCGAUUCAUUCGAAAAUCACCCAAGAAAUGGAAACUAGCAGAAUAGAAAAUUCAAGAGCCACAACAGAGCUAAGAAUCUGCUAGCUGUAAACAUUUUUUAAAAAUCUUGUAUAUUUAAUUUAAAAUAGAAUUACAAAUAUUUGAUCGAGAAGAUAUGUUGGAGUUUGUUUAAAGGUUUGUUUCGGUAAACAAUGCACGAAUUAGGGACAGACUGUAUUAAGGAGGCAAUGACAAUGUGUUUAUUAAGUCUCAAUUACAUGUAAUGUUGUCAAAAUAAAUGCGUCGACAAAGCGUCGACGCAACCUACGCAAGCCCCAAUCUGAUUCAUUAAGUCGAUUGGUCUUUCUUAGAGAAACCAACUACACGAGCAAUAAAUUCUAAUUCAGAACAAUUUGCUGAUCCUAAAAGAAUUUUCUUUCUGUUUUCAGUACUUUCGCUAUUGUCAUUAUCAUUA